CUCAGGAUGGCCGAGCGGUCUAAGGCGUUAGACUCAAGAGGAAUGUUGCUCUGAUGCCGAGUGCUGAAGGUUCUGUUCCACAAUUAUGGGCGUGGGUUCGAAUUCCACUUCUGACA